UUUUUUUUUCUUUCAGCAUCUAAAACAUAUCAAUCCACUGCCUUCUGGCUUCUAAAGUUCCUGAUUGAUAAUCCUAAUAAGGUUCCCUUGUAUGUUUUGAGUCACUUCUCUCUUACUGCUUUCAAGAGACUCUUUGACUUUGGCUUUUGGAGAGUUUGAUUAUGUCUUGGUGUGGGUCUCUCUGAGUUCAUCCUACCUGGAAUUUGCUGAGGUUCUUAGAUGUGAUAUUCAUGUCUUUAAUCAAAUUUGGGAAGCUUUCAGCAAUUAUUUCUUCAAAUAACCUCUGCAUCUUUCUCUCCUCUCCUUCUGGGAUUCCUUCUGGUCUGCUUGAGACUGUCCCACAGAUCCUUGAGGCUCUGUUCACGUGUCUCCAUUCUUUUUCCUUUCUGUUCUUUGGACUUGUUCAUUUCAAUUGCCCUAACUUCAAGUUCACCAGUUCUUUGUUCUGCCUGCUCAGUUUCUGAACCCUUGUAAUUGUUGUACUUUUUAAUACAAGCUGCUUUGGUUGGUGGGGUUCAUACGACUCCAGAAUCUCCUUUUGGUUAUUAUUUUUUAAUAAUUUCUUUUUACUGAUACUCUCGCUUUACGCACACAUUACUUUCCUGCCUUUGACUUCCUGUAGCUCUUGGAGCACCCUUAGGACAGUUGUGAAGUCUGUCUAAUAAGUCUAAUGUCUCAGCUUCUUCACUUACACUUCGUCAAUUUAUUCCAUUCCUUUAAUGAGCCAUUGUCCUAUUUCUUUGCAUGCCUUGUGAUUUUGUUGUUAAAAUUGGACAUUUGAAUGUUAUAAUAUGAAAACUCAGGAAAUCAGAUCCUUUCCCAUCCCCAGAAUUUGUGUUUUUGUUUUUAAUUGUGGUGGGGUGGCUCUGUGUCAAGGGUCAGCUGGAGGUAAAAGUUUAAGGUCUUCGGAGGUUUUCCUGAGCCUGUCUUUCCCUGGGCAUGUACGGCGACUUUCUAAAUUCUCCCAUAAAUGCAGAUGUUUUUGAAUGUCUAAACCCUGCCUCUGCCAAGCCACAAAACAAACAAACAAACAAAGAGCAGGUCUACCUUUAGUGCCUUUAAAUCUUCUGGAAGUUGCUUUGGUUGGUGGGGUUGAUACAGUGGCCUGCAGACUCCUUGCCUACCUCUCAGUGAUCCAAGCAGCAAUCCAUAAUGAAAACUCAGAACUCCAAUAUUUGAAAGAGAAGGUCCUUAUUACCCAUCAUAGCUCUAGCAAAGUGUGACAGAAAUGUGGGUUGCUGUGCCCCCAACUUCCGGCCACACGGAUGGAGGGUGGGCUGCUACCAACACGCUCACUGGUCAAAUAAGUUGUAGUUUACCAGCGAAGCUGUCCCCUGGAAGCUGUGGGAAUUCAAAUAAACUCCAGAGUUUCAAAAUAUCCACUUGAGAAGGUUUCUGCCAGUACAAUUGCUGUUGGGGUGCAGAGAGAGAUUCCUGGCAGCUGCCAAUUCCACUGUCCUCCCUUCCAACAUUCCCUCGCAGAUUCCAUCACAGCAAAGAGUUAACGCAGCCUCGAGCAAGGCUACUGUCCUUCCCACCAGAACACCAUGUAUAUUGAUCUUUUUUAUCGAUGGGGAUUAGGAAUAAUGUGUUUGCCAAAUCAAAAGCCACCUAAGAAGUGCCAGGGGCUGUCGAUCUGCUCCAGUGAAGUUGACACAUCUGGCCUGGCAGCUACACUUGGGGCAAUGAUUUGGUUCAGUUUAUGCCAAGUUUGCAUCUGUCUACCACUCACUGUGACCGUCAUGGCAUGUCUUCAUAAUUGGCAGACCUGAGCUUUUCAUCUUAGUUUUUCAAGUCUUCCAAGGCAAUUAAUAAAGCCAGCUGAUCCCACAGUAUUUCAAAUACCAUUGCUCCCAUUCUGUUCAAGGGCCCCAGCUUCUUCAUAACCCAAUGGUGCACCUGUAGCUCAUCCCAAACUACCACGGGGAAGUCUUAGUGAUGCUGAUGCUACUGCACCACCCACUUUACCAGCAAUGGGUUCCUCACUGCUGACACCUUUUUUUAAAUUUUAAUUUUACCAGAGUAGAGCUGAUUUACAAUGUUGUGUUACUUUCAGGGGUACAGCAAAGUUUCAGUUAUACAUAAACACAUCCAUUCCUUUUCAGAUUCUUUUCCCAUACAGGUUAUUACAGAACAUUGACUAUAGUUCCUGUGUUAUAAAGUAAGUCCUUGCUGAUUACCUUUUUUUUUUUUUGCUUUGGCCACACUCAUGGCAUAUGGAAGUUCCCAGGCUAGGGGUCCAAUCGGAGCUACAGCUGCCAGCCUACACCACAGCCACACAGGAUCCGAGCUACAUCCAAGACCUACACCACAGCUCAUAGCAAUGCCAGAUCCUUAACCCACUGAUCCAGGCCAGGGAUCAAACCCACAACUUCAUGGAUACCAUUUGGGUUUUUAACCAGCUGAGCCACAAUAGGAACUCCCUCCCUCUACGGAUUCUUUUAAUCCACUGGCCCAGGGUAACCUUACGACAUCAGUUCCCCUCAUACCCUGAGUUCAGAGGGCAUUCUUCGAGCACUGAGGCAUGAAGGCAGCUCACUGGCAGGGUGGGACAAUACUGACCUGGGCUCCAGGGCAACGUACCUGCCCAAACGUGGCUGCAGCCCAUGUGGGAGAGGCACUGCGGCGGUGGCAGAAGGAAGAAGGGGGCCAAAGGGACUUUGAGGGUGCAGGAGGAAUGCAGGAUAACUUGGCAUGUGAAGGCUUUUGACUGGAUCAGAGAAAAUCAUACUUUGUGUCAACGCAGAAACUCAACUGGAAAAGCAAUUACCAAUUACCGUUAAACCAGCAUCCAUUUUUAAAUCCAUUACAUCAUUGAAGACGCUUUCUUUUCUUUGUGUUUGUGUGUGUCUUUUCGUCCUUUUUAGGGCCACACCCAUGGCAAUAUGGAGGUUCCCAGGCUAGGGGUCAGAUAGGAGCUACAGCUGCCGGCCACAGCCAUAGCCACAGCAUCGCCAGAUCUGAGCCAUGUCUGCGACCUCCACCACAGCUCACAGCAAUGCCAGAUCCUUAACCCACUGAGCAAGGCCAGGAAUCGAACCCUCAACCUCAUGGUUCCUAGUCCGAUCCGCUUCCGCUGCGCCGGGACAGGAACUCCUGAAGACAUUUUCAACAGACAUUAUCAGUGACUAGUAAAAAGACACAUUCAUUUUGGACCUUGUAAUUUAAAAGGCAAAGCAUGUCAAGAAAUAAGCCUCAUUGACAGAUCACAGGCUUAUUAAUUUCAUCUCUGGCUCCUGCUGCCCAGGCCACGUUUUGUGCUCUGGACAGAGGGGCCACUUCACCAUGCAUGACCGUCCCAGGCUUCUUCCUCUGAGGCCUGGAAGCCGCGGGGAGUGACUCUGCCCCAGCCACACAGCUGAGUGAGUUCAAGCAGGACACCGCCUCUCCAAAUGUUGUUUUUCUCAUUUGGGAAAUGGGGAAAAUACUACUGAACCCAAAAAGCUCUCGGGAGGAAGGAUCCUGCACAUGCAAAAUGCUUCGCGUAGAGCCUGGCACACAGUAGGCAUCUGGGGUUACUUUGGGUCCAGCUGAGGUGAUGGUUAUGGGCCUCUGAAAAGUGAUGUAGGAUUUGCCUUACACGGGGCCCGGCAGCACUUCUGUGACGGUGACAACGCCUCCACCAUGACUACAGUUCUUAGUAUUGACAGGGGCUUGGAAAAGCUGAAUGACAUGAGCAAGGCCUUCUAUCAAGUAAGUGGCAGGGACAAGACCUGGGGCUUCUGAUCCCAAACCCCCUGUCCUUCUGACGCUCCACACCAAUCCUCACCCCCAGAAAGCCCUUCCCACCAAGCUACUGUCUCCUCGAGAGAGCAGGUGCGGGUCCCAGCCCCUCUUUAGCCCGCGAUCUACCGAUGGCUUCUGCUGUUCUGCUUCCCUACAUGUGUAUCCAGACUCCGCCACUAAAUGAAGUUUCUUGAGUAUUUGAGGACGGGAAUUGUGGUCUGUUCUGGUUCUGUUUGGCUGCAAGUCCUAACGGACUGUCAAACACGUACCAAAUGCUCAGGAAACAUCCAGUGAAUUCAACUCGACUGCCCCCUCAAGAACAUUCAGGCUGUGAGAAAAUUCCCCACGGUCCCUGAGUGAGAGGAAGACUGUUCAGAACUUGUCAGAAAAGGACACGCCCCUAACUUGGCAUUUGUAGCAACACGGAUGGAGCUAGAAAUUCUCAUAGGAGUGAAGUCAGGCAGUGAGACACAAACAUACGCUCUCACUUAUAUGUGGAAUCUUAAAAAAAGGGAUACAAUGGACGUAUUUGCAGAACAGAAACUGACUCAGACUUUGAAAAACUUACAGUUACCAAAGGAGACAGGUUGGUGGGGGGGGGGGUUGUCCAGGGAAGACUGGGAGUUUGGGAUAAAAAUGUUCUAAAAUUAGGCUUUGAUAAUGGUUGUACAACUAUAAAUAUAAAAAACUCAUCAAAUUAAAAAAUUACAAAAAUGUUUUGAAUAAAAAGGAUGUGACUAUCAAAAAACAUGAAAGAGAAUGGAUGCUUGUAUAUGCAUAACUGAAUCACUUUGUUGUACAGCAGAAAUUAUCACAACAUUGCAAAUCAACUAUACUUCAAUAAAACUUAAAAAAGUUUGCAAAUUAAAAAAAAUGCUUAAUGAAGAUUAAUGAAUUCGGAGGAAACUUUAAGUAUUUCAGGUUUGGGAUUAUUAAUGCUCUAACCCUCCACAUAUGCUCAUUUAAACACACCAAGCUGAUUCACCAGAGGCUAGGAGACGUUAUGUCUUAAGAAAAAAAUUGCAUUUCCAGGUGGAGAGAACACUACCAACACAUUUUCAACAUAUAUUUAUAUCUAGGCAUGUGCUAAAAGUCUCUGAAUACUAGAUUUUAUAUUAUUUUAUUUUAUUGUAUGGCCACACCCGCAGCAUAUGGAAGCUCCCAGGCUAGGGGUUGAAUUGGAGCUGCAGCUGCCGGCCACAGCCACAGCCACACCGGAUCUGAGCUGCAUCCAUGACCUACGCCCCAUCUUGUAGCAACAACAGGUCCUGAACCCAGUGAGCAAGGCUAGGGAUUGCACUUGUAUCCUCACAAAGGCAACAUCAGGUCCUUAAUCUGUUGAGCCACCAACGGGAACUCCUAAGCACUGAAUUUUAAACAGAUCAAGCUUAAGGCAUAAUUUACACUCAAAUGACCAAUGUAAAGCAUACGGUUUGAUGGAUUUUGAAAAACAUGUGUAUAUAUAUAAAAAUACACACACGUCUAUAUACAUAUACAUACAUGUAUAUAUACACACAUUUACAUAUACACACACACAGAUACACAUACACCCAUUUAUACAUGUCUUUCAACACCCAUCAAACUGAAUGCUUUACAUUGGUAGUUUGUGUGUAAAUUACGCCUUAACCUUGAUUUAAAAAUCUUUUAUACACACACACACACACACACACACACACACACACAGGCACACAUGUAACCACGAUCAAGAUUCCUGAACCUUCAAUGUUACUGCUCAGUAAUAUAUUUCACCGUAUGGAUGUCCCACAGCUUCUCUACCUAUCUAUUACCAGAUGUCCAGCUGCGGCUGUGAUAUAAAGGCACUCUGAACACGCAUGCACAGGCCACGGUGUGGACAUCCUCUCAGUCCUGUUGGGUAGACACCUAGGGUGUGACUGCAGGGUCAGCUGCUAAGUACGUGUUUCACUCUAUAAGGAACCACGAGAUUGUCUUCCCAAGUGGCUGCUCCGUCUGUACUCCUACCAGCGAGGGCUGAGAGUUCCAGGUGCUCCCUAUUCUUGCCAACGCUAGAUGUUGCCGGUCUUGUUUCUCCUAUUUGUUUUUUAUUAAAGCAGAAUUUCAAACCAUUAAGAGGGAAUUCCCGUCAUGGCUCAAUGGUAACAAACCCGACUAGCAUCCAUGAAGAUGUCAGUUCAAUCCCGGGCCUCACGCAGUGGGUUAAGGAUCUGGCAUUGCUGUGAGCUGUGGUGUAGGCUGAAGAUGCAGCUCGGUUCCUGCAUUGCUGUGGCUGUGGUGGAGGCCGGCAGCUGUAGCUGCGAUUCAACCCCUAGCCUGGGAACCUCCAUAUGCCGUGGGUGUGGCCCUAAAAAGACAAAAAAAUCAAAAAUCAAAUCAAACCAAACCAUGAAGAGUCACCUGCACAGCUGGGUGGGUUCUGGCAUUGAUUUGUGCAGCAAAAAUCAAGACAGAGAACCAUCUCGUCCCCGACAGAACCCCGCCUGUGUCCUUUCCCAGCCAGUCUCACUCCUGACCCCGGCAGCCCUGCUCAUCUCUGACCCCACGGUUUUAUCUUUUCCAGACUGUCACAUGGGCGGAGUCACACGGUCUGCGGUCUUGGAGCGUGACGUCUUCCAGGAGGCACAAGGAGAAUCAUCCAUGCUGCUAUGUGUACCAGUGGUUCGCUCCCUGUCACCGUAAGGGA
rnacentral:lncRNA from 1 species